rnacentral:sRNA from 1 species
GCACCCAGCUGUUCACCUCGUGGGUCCGGGGUGGGGCCGGGACUGGGCAGGUGGGUGGGCACAGGCAUGGGGAGUCCUCCUCAGUGCACCCCCGAUGCCUGCUCCUCCCUCUUGGUCCUCGAGCGCCAGGGGAGCAUUCAACCUCUUGCUGCUUCUGUAAGUCCCCAUCUCGGAGCAUGUCGAGGAGAUGAAAUUCUCUGCUUCGCAGGGGAAGGGAAGGUGAAGCCAACAUUUGGGGGAGAACUGCUCUUUCUAUUUCACAGAGGGGAAACUGACGCAGGGAGCCAUGAGCCCUCGAGGCCACACUUUAGGGGGCAGAGGCAAGAUGAGAAGGGAACCCCACGUCUGCACAGCUGGGCCCCUGCACUCUGCUGCGUGGCCCAAGUCACCAGUGGGAGUAACUCCGGAACUGAGGGCUUGUUCUGGGCCCACCUCAGAGGGAGAGGGGUGUGCGCUGGCAGGGGACAGGGUGGCUGCUGACCUGGGCAUCUGCUCUCCCCCAGGCAUGACUACGGGGCCCCCCAGGAGGCGACUCUCGGGGCCAACAAGGUGAUCGAAGGCCUGGACACGGGCCUGCAGGGCAUGUGUGUGGGAGAGAGGCGGCAGCUCAUCGUGCCCCCGCACCUGGCCCACGGGGAGAGUGGAGCCCGGGGAGUCCCAGGCAGUGCUGUGCUGCUGUUUGAGGUGGAGCUGGUGUCCCGGGAGGAUGGGCUGCCCACAGGCUACCUGUUUGUGUGGCACGAGGACCCUCCUGCCAACCUGUUUGAAGACAUGGACCUCAACAAGGAUGGCGAGGUCCCUCCGGAGGAGUUCUCCACCUUCAUCAAGGCUCAAGUGAGUGAGGGCAAAGGACGCCUCAUGCCUGGGCAGGACCCUGAGAAAACCAUAGGAGACAUGUUCCAGAACCAGGACCGCAACCAGGACGGCAAGAUCACAGUCGACGAGCUCAAGCUGAAGUCAGAUGAGGACGAGGAGCGGGUCCACGAGGAGCUCUGAGGGGCAGGGAGCCUGGCCAGGCCUGAGACACAGAGGCCCACUGCGAGGGGGACAGUGGCGGUGGGACUGACCUGCUGACAGUCACCCUUCCUCUGCUGGGAUGAGGUCCAGGAGCCAACUAAAACAAUGGCA